rnacentral:rRNA from 1 species
AUGCACGCUAGCGGCCGGCCUCACCCAUGCAAGUCGAGGGGUAGAAGGAGCUUGCUCCUUUGAGACCGGCGCACGGGUGCGUAACGCGUAUGCAAUCUACCUUGUACAGGGGAAUAGCCCAGAGAAAUUUGGAUUAAUGCCCCAUAGUAUAUAACCUUCGCAUGUUGGUUAUAUUAAAGUUCCAACGGUACAAGAUGAGCAUGCGUCCCAUUAGUUAGUUGGUAAGGUAACGGCUUACCAAGACGAUGAUGGGUAGGGGUCCUGAGAGGGAGAUCCCCCACACUGGUACUGAGACACGGACCAGACUCCUACGGGAGGCAGCAGUGAGGAAUAUUGGUCAAUGGUCGCAAGACUGAACCAGCCAUGCCGCGUGCAGGAAGACGGUCCUAUGGAUUGUAAACUGCUUUUAUACAGGAAGAAACCCUCCCACGUGUGGGAGCUUGACGGUACUGUAGGAAUAAGGAUCGGCUAACUCCGUG